UGGGGAAUAUUGGGCAAUGGGCGCAAGCCUGACCCAGCAACGCCGCGUGAAGGAAGAAGGCUUUCGGGUUGUAAACUUCUUUUAAGAGGGAAGAGCAGAAGACGGUACCUCUAGAAUAAGCCACGGCUAACUACGUGCCAGCAGCCGCGGUAAUACGUAGGUGGCAAGCGUUGUCCGGAUUUACUGGGUGUAAAGGGCGUGCAGCCGGGUCUGCAAGUCAGAUGUGAAAUCCAUGGGCUCAACCCAUGAACUGCUUUCAAAACUGUUUUUCUUGAGUAGUGCAGAGGUAGGCGGAAUUCCCGGUGUAGCGGUGGAAUGCGUAGAUAUCGGGAGGAACACCAGUGGCGAAGGCGGCCUACUGGGCACCAACUGACGCUGAGGCUCGAAAGUGUGGGUAGCAAACAGGAUUAGAUACCCUGGUAGUCCACACCGUAAACGAUGAUUACUAGGUGUUGGAGGAUUGACCCCUUCAGUGCCGCAGUUAACACAAUAAGUAAUCCACCUGGGGAGUACGGCCGCAAGGUUAAAACUCAAAUGAAUUGACGGGGGCCCGCACAAGCGGUGGAGCAUGUGGUUUAAUUCGACGCAACGCGAAGAACCUUACCAAGUCUUGACAUCCCUUGACGAUGCUGGAAACAGUAUUUCUCUUCGGAGCAAGGAGACAGGUGGUGCAUGGUUGUCGUCAGCUCGUGUCGUGAGAUGUUGGGUUAAGUCCCGCAACGAGCGCAACCCUUAUGGUCAGUUACUACGCAAGAGGACUCUGGCCAGACUGCCGUUGACAAAACGGAGGAAGGUGGGGAUGACGUCAAAUCAUCAUGCCCUUUAUGACUUGGGCUACACACGUACUACAAUGGCGUUAAACAAAGAGAAGCAAGACCGCGAGGUGGAGCAAAACUCAGAAACAACGUCCCAGUUCGGACUGCAGGCUGCAACUCGCCUGCACGAAGUCGGAAUUGCUAGUAAUCGUGGAUCAGCAUGCCACGGUGAAUACGUUCCC
rnacentral:rRNA from 1 species